AGGUUCUUCACAGCUCUGGCAGGAGGUGGCGUUCUUGCAGGAAGCGCAGCCCGACGCGCAGCUUCGACACACCUGACCGACCGGGUAGCCUCUGUCGAGAUCAUUCGCUCACGAUGAAUACAACUUGGUGUACUUUGAAGACGGAUUGGCAUGCCAAGGUUAUCGAGCAGGACUCGCAUGAUGGAUGGCACUGUGCACAUUCGCCAUCACCUGCAGCACCAAACACACAUGCGAUCAUGACAGCCUGGAAACCUGAAGCAACAGUCCACAAGAAAGUUGAAUGGAUCAACAGCGCCACUGCUGGUUGCAGCCAAGUACAGGAAUCGUAAUAAAAACGAAGCGGAGCCCCGCUGAAAAAAACACGCGAAAAGACGCGAGCCAAUAAAAAAAGCGGGCAGACGCUGACCAUCUGCGCACGGCGUUUGGAGAACACACUCGCCCUCCUGCAGGCUGCGACCGCUGGAACAGCUGCUGCAGCUGGCCCGGCUCGGCCCGACACAGGUGGCGCACACCCGGUGGCAAGCUUUGCACAGGCCCUCUACCUCGUCGUAGUACAUUCCCGGCGCGCAACUCCGCUGGCAGCGGUUCCCAUGCAGACUGGAGCGAGGGCGGAUAAAGCGGAAGAAAGGAAAAGAGAGAGAGGGAGAAAAGAGACAUUAUGCAGCGGCGCGACACCCACAGCCAAUCACGCGAUGGCGUCAGGGUGACUCACUCGACGAGAGCCCAGCGAACGCAACGGACACGAGAUGCUGGAGGAUGUGCACCUCGAGCAGUUCUCGCCGCACUUCCUGCACAUCUUUGCAUCUGCGGGGAUAAUUCAAACAAUACGGCCCGCCAGAAAACCCACCGUGGUCCAGGAAGUAGCCCUCCUCGCAGCCGGCGGUGCAGGUGGCGAAGCAGCGCUUGCAACGUCGCCUGUCGCUCCAGAACCCCCGCGGACACGUGGGCACGCAAAUUCUGUUGGAGACAUGGGAGUCAUGUGAGAAGCUUGCUUGAGGUUGGGGAGGACUGAUGUAGCCGCGUAAUGUCAUCGUACCUCUUCGACGGAGUGGGCGGCUCCACUGUGCAUGCACGCUGCGGGGGGACCCGUUGCCAUCGCUUUGCCUGCCGUACCAUCCUCUCUGCAUCCAGGAGGCCGAAGCCGUACAGUGGUGCAUUACCUUUGUGUCCUGCCCCGUUCCUUUGCCAGUCGGCCGCGGCGAGCUGGCGAGUAUCUGACGUGCGAACAAUGAUGUGCUGGACGUCUCUCCACGUGAGC